AGCCGUCAUCAGUGAUUCUUAUAUAAAUAAGGAGGGCAAGGGAGAAAGUUUUUCCUGGCAAAUCUUGGUGGAUGUGUCCGCCUCCGUCACAUCACAGUGACCAAAUUGUAGAUUUUCAUCCAAACGGAGUGAAAGAAACCCACCCAUCACAGCUGUGGUCUCAUCCGUAACCUUAAAAGGCCUGACUCCUCCGCUCACGGACUCUGUGCCUUUUAACCUUCUUCCUGAUCCUGUUUCGCAGUAAUCAGAAUAUUGCUCCAACUCACCAUUGUCAUACGCAUGUAGCAACCAACAUUGGCCAUGCGACUUCUUAACAAGGCUUCGAACCUGCGGGUUUAACGGGAGACUCCUGUAACAUCAUCCGAAAACAACAGAAGCAAGUUUCAAAUCUGCUUUGAAUCUCACUCAUGUUCCCAAUCUGAAGUAGGGAUAGUCAACACUGCAUUGACUUUGUUGUUGCCAGUGUCAGUUAUAGAUUAUAUGUAGGAUUUUCCUUUUGCUGCUUAUCUCUAGAUACGAUGUCAACUUGUUGAGUGUCCCUUUAAACAAACCGCAACCAAGCUUCAAAAUUCAGUUUAAUGAGUUAAUUACAACUUGUAUAUAGAUAGAAGGAAUAUAAAUAACAACAACAAUGAUUCCAUACAUCUAAAGUCCACUCGUUGGCCCACUUUGUACAGCUAUGCAGGAACGCAGAAAAACAUUACCUUACGGUUAUGUUCUCUCUACAAGUUAUUUGUAAUCGAAAUAUUAUGAACGGGUUCCACUGUUUUGUAAGGCAGAUAUGUAUUGCAUUGGCUGUAGGUCGCUAACGUUGUUAAACAUAUAUGGUUGAGCUCACUCCUGCUGUGUGUGAGCCAUACAAACUAGGCCUCUUUCCAUAAAAAAUAUUGACUUUUUAAAAUGUGAAAUGUAAAAGCAAGGUUUUAUCUUACAAAGCCAACUGUCGUCGUUCAUAUCCAAAUACUACAAUGUAAAUGUACCACGGAUGG